GGUGAACGCUGGCGGCGUGCUUAAGACAUGCAAGUCGAACGAUCGUCUUCGGACGGUAGUGGCGCACGGGUGAGUAACGCGUAACUGACCUGCCCCCAAGUUCCGAAUAACCCUCCGAAAGGAGGGCUAAUACGGGAUGUGCUGUCCCCUCCUGUGGGGCCAGUCAAGGCUUGACCGCUUGGGGAUGGGGUUGCGUUCCAUCAGCUGGAUGGUGGGGUAAAGGCCUACAAUGGCAACGACGGGUAACCGGCCUGAGAGGGUGGCCGGCGACAGGGGCACUGAGAGACGGCCCAGACGGCGACGGGAGGCAGCAGGGGGGAAGAUUGCACAAUGGGCGGAAGCCUGAUGCAGCAGCGCCGCGUGCGGGAUGACGGCCUGCGGGUUGUAAACAGCGGUCGCCUGUGACGAAGCGCGAGUGACGGGAAUGGGGAAAGAAGCACCGGCUAACUACGUG
rnacentral:rRNA from 1 species